CUCUCCUUUAAAUUUAUCACAGGCUCUGUUACUGUCAAGGUCCCAUCUUCUCCUCAAACCUAUUUACAGUUAUCAGGAAAAGAGGUUGAUAUGAACCCAGAAGUCAAUGUUCAGGAAGUGGCUGAAGAUGAUAAAGAUGAUGGUGUAACAAUUAUUGGUCAGGUCUCCUUCUGCCUGCGCUGGACCUGCGCACGCGGGGGACUUCCGCAUCGGGCCCUCCAGCCUCCCGCAGCGUCCCGCAGCGCCCUGGCGGGCAGCAGCCUGGGUGGUAGCGGCGCGCUUGGUGCUCGGCGCCAGCACCUGCUACUGCCAUCUACAGGCUGAGGCGGGGCCCGCGGCGAGGCGGCCGGGGGCAUCGGCUGAGCCCCUCUGGAUCUGCAGGCUCUGUUACUGUCAAGGUCCCAUCUUCUCCUCAAACCUAUUUACAGUUAUCAGGAAAAGAGGUUGAUAUGAACCCAGAAGUCAAUGUUCAGGAAGUGGCUGAAGAUGAUAAAGAUGAUGGUGUAACAAUUAUUGGUCAGGUCUCCUUCUGCCUGCGCUGGACCUGCGCACGCGGGGGACUUCCGCAUCGGGCCCUCCAGCCUCCCGCAGCGUCCCGCAGCGCCCUGGCGGGCAGCAGCCUGGGUGGUAGCGGCGCGCUUGGUGCUCGGCGCCAGCACCUGCUACUGCCAUCUACAGGCUGAGGCGGGGCCCGCGGCGAGGCGGCCGGGGGCAUCGGCUGAGCCCCUCUGGAUCUGCAGGCUCUGUUACUGUCAAGGUCCCAUCUUCUCCUCAAACCUAUUUACAGUUAUCAGGAAAAGAGGUUGAUAUGAACCCAGAAGUCAAUGUUCAGGAAGUGGCUGAAGAUGAUAAAGAUGAUGGUGUAACAAUUAUUGAUCAGGUCUCCUUCUGGCUGCGCUGGACCUGCGCACGCGGG